rnacentral:misc_RNA from 1 species
GGCACGCCCGAAGUCGUUACCUCAACCGCAAGGAGGGGGAUGCCUAAGGCAGGGCUAGUGACUGGGGUGAAGUCGUAACAAGGUAGCCGUACCGGAAGGUGUGGCUGGAUCACCUCCUUAAAGGGAGACCUAAUUCAGGUAGAAGACGAAAAAAUAGUAGUCGAAACCAAGAAUCAAUCCCAAAAGGUCGGAACGAGGUAUGUGGCUUUCAAACUAGGUUCUGGGUUCAUAAAAGACCUGAAUCAGGAACAAGGGCUAUUAGCUCAGGUGGUUAGA